rnacentral:lncRNA from 1 species
CAAUUUCAAAUUUUAAUUUAUUUUUAAAAUUUUGUUUUAAUAAUUUUUACCGCAAUAGCAUUGAAAUUAUUUUUUUUUUUAAGAGAUAGAUAGCACGCUAUAUAUCCGUUUCGUUUAUUUCAUUUAGAAAUAAACUUAGCUGGAAAUGUGAAUCAACUAGGAUUUGAACUUGGGUCUCAGAUACCAACCACCAAAUUCUUUACCAUUUACUCUAAGAACAGUCGGUUGCAGUGAAAAUUUUAAUUUACUUUGGAAGGCCCUCAUAGAAG